rnacentral:rRNA from 1 species
AGUGAACGCUGGCGGUAGGCCUAACACAUGCAAGUCGAACGGCGGCACAGUAAGAGCUUGCUCUUACGGGUGGCGAGUGGCGGACGGGUGAGGAAUACAUCGGAAUCUACUUUUUCGUGGGGGAUAACGUAGGGAAACUUACGCUAAUACCGCAUACGACCUACGGGUGAAAGCAGGGGAUCUUCGGACCUUGCGCGAUUGAAUGAGCCGAUGUCGGAUUAGCUAGUUGGCGGGGUAAAGGCCCACCAAGGCGACGAUCCGUAGCUGGUCUGAGAGGAUCAUCAGCCACACUGGAACUGAGACACGGUCCAGACUCCUACGGGAGGCAGCAGUGGGGAAUAUUGGACAAUGGGCGCAAGCCUGAUCCAGCCAUACCGCGUGGGUGAAGAAGGCCUUCGGGUUGUAAAGCCCUUUUGUUGGGAAAGAAAAGCAGCAGGUUAAUACCCCGCUGUUCUGACGGUACCCAAAGAAUAAGCACCGGCUAACUUCGUG